UCAAGAGAGGAAAGGGCGUACGGUGGAUGCCUAGGCACCAGGAGCCGAGGAAGGGCGCGGCAAGCGGCGAAACGCCCCGGGGAGCCGCAAGCGGGCGUAGAUCCGGGGGUACCCGAAUGGGGGAACCCACCCGAGGGAAUGCUCGGGUAUCCACUGGUGAACACAUAGCCAGUGGAGGGGAACCGGGCGAACUGAAACAUCUAAGUAGCCCGAGGAAAAGAAAGAAAAGAUCGAUUCCCUAAGUAGCGGCGAGCGAAAGGGGAGGAGCCCAAACCAUGCGAGUGUAGGAGGCCAAGGCUGAUGCUUGCAUGGGGUAAGGCACAUACCGGGGUAGGGCCUUGGACCUACCAGUGAUGUAGUAGAGCUAGCCGAAUGGUACUGGGAAGGCCAGCCGGAGAGGGUGAGAGCCCCGUAGGCGAAAGCUUUAGUACAUCACGAGGUAUGUAGCCAGAGUACCACGGGAUAGGCGACCCUGUGGGAAGGAGGGAGGACCACCUCCCAAGGCUAAAUACUACCUGGUGACCGAUAGCGGAUAGUACCGUGAGGGAAAGGUGAAAAGUACCCCGGGAGGGGAGUGAAAGAGAACCUGAAACCGUACGCCUACAAGCAGUCAGAGUCCGGCACUCAACCUAGUGUUUACUGGGUGAAUAGAGUAAGAGGGAUAGAAAGAGGUAGAAGUAGUUAAGAGAAGAGUAAGCACUAAGUUGAGUGCCGGAUGAUGGCGUACUUUUUGUAGAACGGGCCGGCGAGUUACGGUAGCAAGCGAGGUUAAGGGAUAAAGGCCUGGAGCCGAAGCGAAAGCGAGUCCGAAGAGGGCGUAAGUUUGCUGCCGUAGACCCGAAACCGUGCGAGCUACCCAUGGCCAGGGUGAAGCCGGAGUAAGAUCUGGUGGAGGCCCGAACCACGUUGGCGUUGAAAAGCCAUGGGAUGAGCUGUGGGUAGGGGUGAAAUGCCAAGCGAGCACGGAGAUAGCUGGUUCUCCCCGAAAUAGCUUUAGGGCUAGCCUCAGGGAAGAGGCCUAUGGAGGUAGAGCACUGAAUGGGCUAGGGGCCAAGGAGGUUACCGAACCCUAUCAAACUCCGAAUGCCAUAGGCGGGAACCUGGGAGUCAGACCAUGGGUGAUAAGAUUCGUGGUCGAGAGGGGAACAGCCCAGACCUCCAGCUAAGGUCCCGAAGGGCAUGUUAAGUGGUAAGGAAGUGGGACUUCGGAGACAACCAGGAUGUUGGCUUAGAAGCAGCCAUACAUUUAAAGAGUGCGUAACAGCUCACUGGUCGAGAGGUCCUGCGCCGAAAAUGAACGGGGCUAAAACAUGCCACCGAAGCUGGGGCUACCGCGUAAGGCGGUGGGGUAGGGGAGCGUACUGUACGGGGGGAAGGCCGAGUGUAAGCGAGGCUGGACUGUACAGUAGAGAGAAUGCCGGCAUGAGUAACGAGAGUAAGGUGAGAAACCUUACCGCCGGAAGCCUAAGGGUUCCUGGGGGAGGGUAAUCCGCCCAGGGUAAGCCGGGACCUAAGCCGAGGCGAGAGCGUAGGCGAUGGGGAAGGGGUAGAGAAUCCCCUGCCACCGAGCAGGAAGCGAAGGGGUGACGCAGGAGGGUAGGCUGAGCGCGCGGUUGGUAGAGCGCGUCCAAGCCAGUAGGGUGCAGGAUAGGCAAAUCCGUCCUGCGUAGGGCCUGAGAGGCGAAGGGGAGGGAAAUAGAGUACCGAAGCAGCCGAGCCCAGACUGCCGAGAAAAGCCUCUAAGCGGAAGACUGCUUGGUGCCCGUACCGGAAACCGACACAGGUAGGCGAGGAGAGUAUCCACAGGCGAGCGGGAGAACCCUCAUUAAGGAACUCGGCAAAAUGGCCCCGUAACUUAGGGAGAAGGGGUACCCAUUGGGGUAUAGGCCGAGCGCUGAAAGCCCUGAUGGGUCGCAGAGGAGAGGCCCAAGCGACUGUUUACCAAAAACACAGGUCUCUGCUAAGUCGGAAGACGAAGUAUAGGGGCUGACGCCUGCCCGGUGCUGGAAGGUUAAGGGGAGGGGUUAAAGCUCUGAACCGAAGCCCCAGUGAACGGCGGCCGUAACUAUAACGGUCCUAAGGUAGCGAAAUUCCUUGUCGGGUAAGUUCCGACCCGCACGAAAGGCGUAACGACUUGGGCGCUGUCUUGAUGAGGGGCCCGGUGAAAUUGUAGUACUCGUGAAGAUGCGAGUUACCCGCGAUUGGACAGAAAGACCCCGUGGAGCUUUACUGCAGCCUGUCACUGGAUGCUGGUAGUUUCUGUACAGGAUAGGUGGGAGACGUAGAAGGUAGGGCGCGAGCCUUACUGGAGUCGGCGGUGGGAUACCACCCUGGGACUACUGGGAUUCUAACCUAUAGCCGAGGAGCGGGCGUAGGGACAAUGGCAGGUGGGCAGUUUGACUGGGGCGGUCGCCUCCUAAAGGGUAACGGAGGCGCCCAAAGGUUACCUCAGCGCGGACGGGAAUCGCGCGGAAGAGUGCAAAGGCAGAAGGUAGCCUGACUGCGAGAGGGACACCUCGAGCAGGGACGAAAGUCGGGCUUAGUGAUCCGGCGGCAGUGAGUGGGGACGCCGUCGCUCAACGGAUAAAAGCUACCCCGGGGAUAACAGGCUGAUCUCCCCCAAGAGUCCACAUCGACGGGGAGGUUUGGCACCUCGAUGUCGGCUCAUCGCAUCCUGGGGCUGAAGUAGGUCCCAAGGGUUGGGCUGUUCGCCCAUUAAAGCGGUACGUGAGCUGGGUUCAGAACGUCGUGAGACAGUUCGGUCCCUAUCCGUCGCGGGCGUAGGAAACUUGAGAGGGACUGCCCCUAGUACGAGAGGACCGGGGUGGACGAACCGAUGGUGUACCAGUUGUUCCGCCAGGGGCACAGCUGGGUAGCCAAGUUCGGAAGGGAUAAGCGCUGAAAGCAUCUAAGCGCGAAGCCCGCCUCAAGACAAGGUUUCCCACCCGUAAGGGGGUAAGACACCUCGAAGACGACGAGGUAGAUAGGCCGGGGGUGUAAGAGUGGUAACACUCUUAGCUGACCGGUACUAAUCAGUCGAGGACUUGACCAU
rnacentral:rRNA from 2 species